UACGAAGGGAGCUAGCGUUGUUCGGAAUUACUGGGCGUAAAGGGCGCGUAGGCGGCUUGGCAAGUUGGAUGUGAAAGCCCUGGGCUUAACCCAGGAAUUGCAUUCAAAACUGCCUUGCUCGAAUUCGGUAGAGGUUGGUGGAAUUCCCAGUGUAGAGGUGAAAUUCGUAGAGAUUGGGAAGAACACCCGUGGCGAAGGCGGCCAACUGGACCGACAUUGACGCUGAGGCGCGAAAGCGUGGGGAGCAAACAGG
rnacentral:rRNA from 1 species